CGUGGCCCACUCAACUACUGUAUUAAUGUCGAGGCCGUCAUCUCCCCGUGAGGCGGCUCAGACGGUGCGCUGCGUCGGGGCCACGGCUCAGACGUUACAUAAGAAACGGCGUGCUUCCAAAUUGGUCUUCCUCUCGAAGAUUCCUCCCCCGCUGUCCCCCACGCCUGAUCUUCAACCUCACCGGCAAGGACCAGAUCGGGAACGAUGACUACCUCGUCUUCUUCUUCGCAGCCAGAAGAGGUUCUCCUGCUGAUUCCAUGCCCAACCUGUGGCCACAAGGUGGUCACCUUCAUGGCUUCAUCUCCCGAGCCGGAGCAUGCUUCUACAAGUGCGUCAGGAAAGAUGCUGGGUUAUGACAGUUCAUGAGAUCCAGUGAUAUGUACCUGUCGGAGCUGACUAGGGAUGGCUUGUCCCAGCCGUACUUACUGCAUCAGCCUCUAGCCGUGCAUCCAUCCGCUCCCCUUCAGCAGAGAUCCAGGUGAGAACACACUUUCGUGGACGGCAGCCAGGCAGAGAUCCAAUCAGCUCAUGCGUGCCCAGCCACAGAUGCAGCAAGCUAGCCCCGCCGGUGUUGCACCGCACUGCUGAUCGACGGACAGCCAACGCACGGCCCUGCUGUUGGCUGGAACCAACCUGGUUCUUGUGAUGGCUAUGCUGUACUUAAUCUUCGUGCAGCACAGCAGUUACUUUAGUACAAGAGCUGUGUAAUAAGGAGAGCUGACUAGUAGUUAAUUUGCUAAUUCUAGUCUGUAGUAAGGACCCGUGUGUAGCGCGCAGUCCCAAGUUGUAUUGCUCUGUUUUGUGUUAUCUCCACCGCUUAUGCUUUUGUCAGAGCAUUAUGUACCUAAUGAUGGUUAUCUCUAAAUAAAUUUUCAGGUUCUCUGCCUGCAA